ncrna:unclassified sequences Glutamine riboswitch
AUCGUUUAUCCUGAAACGGACGGAAGUAAACCAUUUAAGGUUGAAGAAACGCUCU